rnacentral:rRNA from 2 species
GGGCGUGCGGGUGCUAAUACAUGCAAGUCGAGCGAACUGAUUAGAAGCUUGCUUCUAUGACGUUAGCGGCGGACGGGUGAGUAACACGUGGGCAACCUGCCUGUAAGACUGGGAUAACUUCGGGAAACCGAAGCUAAUACCGGAUAGGAUCUUCUCCUUCAUGGGAGAUGAUUGAAAGAUGGUUUCGGCUAUCACUUACAGAUGGGCCCGCGGUGCAUUAGCUAGUUGGUGAGGUAACGGCUCACCAAGGCAACGAUGCAUAGCCGACCUGAGAGGGUGAUCGGCCACACUGGGACUGAGACACGGCCCAGACUCCUACGGGAGGCAGCAGUAGGGAAUCUUCCGCAAUGGACGAAAGUCUGACGGAGCAACGCCGCGUGAGUGAUGAAGGCUUUCGGGUCGUAAAACUCUGUUGUUAGGGAAGAACAAGUACAAGAGUAACUGCUUGUACCUUGACGGUACCUAACCAGAAAGCCACGGCUAACUACGUGCCAGCAGCCGCGGUAAUACGUAGGUGGCAAGCGUUAUCCGGAAUUAUUGGGCGUAAAGCGCGCGCAGGCGGUUUCUUAAGUCUGAUGUGAAAGCCCACGGCUCAACCGUGGAGGGUCAUUGGAAACUGGGGAACUUGAGUGCAGAAGAGAAAAGCGGAAUUCCACGUGUAGCGGUGAAAUGCGUAGAGAUGUGGAGGAACACCAGUGGCGAAGGCGGCUUUUUGGUCUGUAACUGACGCUGAGGCGCGAAAGCGUGGGGAGCAAACAGGAUUAGA